GGCUGGUCUGAGCGCAGUGAUGUUUACAACUAAUUGAUCACAACCAGUUACAGAUUUCUUUGUUCCUUCUCUAAUCCCAUUGCUUCACUUGAAUAACCUUAA
rfam:Callithrix jacchus chromosome 10, whole genome shotgun sequence